ACUCGCUCGUGUCACUUUCCUUCUCUCCAUAAAUCACACACGCCGCUCACGCCGGAACAAAACUACCAAAAAGUCAAAUUAUCAGACGCGCACACCACAAGAAUUCGCCUUUGUAGUUCAUCUUCUUCUUAGUUUACGUGUUACCCUCUCUCUCUUUCUGUCUCUAACCAUUUCCAGAUCUGUAUCUCUCUAUGGCCGGCCAGAGAAAUGACUACGGCAAGAGAUCCAAUUCCCAAUCUGACUACGGCGGAGGCAAGCGGAGGAACCCCGGCGAUGAUAUUGACCAGCCGCAUGCGAUUGGGAGUGAAGACACCGUGUACCGCUACUUAUGCCCGCUGAGAAAGAUUGGGAGUAUAAUUGGGCGAGGCGGAGAGAUUGCUAAGCAAUUGAGGUCGGAGAGUAAAUCCAAUAUUAGAAUUGGCGAGGCUAUGCCAGGGUUUGAGGAGCGCAUUGUUACUAUUUACAGCUCUGGUGAGAAGACCAAUCUCUUUGGAGAUACUGGAGAGUUCGUUUCCCCUGCUCAGGAUGCUCUUUUCAUGGUUCAUGAUAGGAUUGUUUCCGAGGACCUUCCGCCUAAUAAUACUAAUGAUGGGGAUGAUGAAUUUGGGGAGCCUCAACAGGUUACUGUUAGAUUGCUUGUGCCUUCUGAUCAGAUUGGCUGUGUUAUUGGGAAAGGUGGACAAGUGAUUCAGAAUAUAAGGGGCGAAACCGGCGCUCAGAUUCGUAUUCUAAAGGAUGAGCAUCUGCCUCCUCUGGCUUUAAGUAGUGAUGAGCUUCUUCAGAUUAUUGGAGAACCUGCAGUUGUUAGAAAGGCUCUUUAUCAAGUGGCUUCUCGCCUUCAUGUGAAUCCAUCUCGAUCCCAGCACCUACUUUUGUCUUCUUCAACCAACAUGUAUCAAUCUGGUGGCAUGUUUGUGACUGCAAAUGCUGGUGCCCCUCUAAUGGGUCUUUAUGGAAAUUACAAAGGUGGAUGGUCAUCAUCUUUUUACUCUGAUCAGAGAGAUGAAGCUUCUGCUAAAGAGUUCUCUCUUCGUAUGGUGUGUCCCGCUGGAAAUAUUGGAGGUGUCAUUGGAAAAGGUGGUGGUAUCAUUAAGCAAAUUCGUCAGGAAUCUAGGGCUUCCAUCAAAGUUGAUAGUUCAAGUGCUGAAGGAGAUGAUUGUAUUAUAUUUAUAUCAGCAAAGGAGUUUUUUGAAGAACAUUCACCAACACUCACUGCAGCACUGCGUUUGCAACCACGAUGCAGUGAGAAAACUGAAAGGGAAUCGAGUGAUUCUGUAAUUACCACUCGUCUACUUGUGCCAAGGUCACAGAUUGGUUGCCUUUUGGGUAAAGGAGGGGCUAUCAUUUCUGAGAUGAGGAGUGUGACAAGGGCAAGCAUUCGGAUUCUCGCAGAGGAAAACCUUCCUGAGGUUGCUUCUGAGGAUGAUGAGAUGGUGCAGAUCACUGGCAGCCUUGAUGUUGCUAGCAAUGCUCUCUUACAUGUUAUUUUGAGGUUGAAAGCCAAUUUAUUUGCAAGGGAUGGAGCACUCAGUGCACUUCCACCAGCUCUUCCAUAUAUUCCCGUUUCAGUGGACAUGUUAGAUGGUCCAAAAUAUGGGACCCGAGACAAUCAAUCACGUGGACGUGGAUACUCUUCAGCUGGUGGUUACAGUUCUCGUGAUUUGCCCCCAAGUGACAAUUACGGAAAUAAUGGUAGUUCACUGAGUGGUGGUGAAAGUGGGUAUGGAGCAUAUGGUGGCUUAUCUUCUGGACGUUCUGGUGGUGCAGGGUUAUCUGUUCAGAACUCAGUUAACCAAAGAAAACAUCAUGGAUAUUAGCCUCAUUCUAUGGACAACAGGUUUGUUUCUUAAGCUUUGGGGGAAAUCAUGAGGGCUACAGUUUGCUUGGGAGGUAGUUUUGCAUAUUGCUUUUUGAGUUGAUUCACAGAUUGUCGACAUGGUGAGGAUAAAAUCGGCUCAAGGGCAGGUUUGAUUUAUCAGGGUUCCCUUGGCAUCAAGAGAAAAGGUAUGUUUUUCUGCAACUAGUAAUUACUGAGCUUGGUGUUCCUAUCAAAUGUAUCCCAAGUCCUAACCACACUUAUGUGAUAGUUUAAAAUUAGAUUAAGCAAUAGAAAUGUAGUCAUACUAAACUUUGACUUUUUUUAGCACAAUUUUCAUGUGGAAAGUAAAGGGAAAAGUUUCCAAUUUUCCCUGCUUGUUUUGAAACUUGUACAACGAUAAGGCAGGAAAGUCCUAUCCUUUUAUGGCACAUUUGUCGAGUGAUUCAUCUAAUGUGCAGGAAAGGGUAAAAAAGGAGAAAAAAGGAAGUAUUCAAGGAAUAAUAUAACUACUGCUCUAUAGGAUCUUCAUUGUAUGAACAUAACAUCAAGUGCUGAUUAUCUUAUAGACAGGAACACAAUCGAAUGUAGAGUGCAGUUGAACAUAGAAUUCUGGGAAUCACUUUUUUUACAUUACAAUUUUUGUUCAUUUGCCCCAUUCAAUAUGGCUGACGCACUUUGUAGCUUCCAUGGUUGUGUUUAUGCGUAUUGUGCAUACGAGUGCAAUGAGAAAACAAAAGGUUUGACUUGUUUGCUUUUUCUGUAUUGGCAUAAUUCGAAGGAGUAUCAAUUGUGGAAGUUUUGCAUUUGCAUCCA